rnacentral:rRNA from 1 species
UACGUAGGGUGCGAGCGUUAAUCGGAAUUACUGGGCGUAAAGCGUGCGCAGGCGUCGCGUUAAGACAGGUGUGAAAGCCCCGAGCUUAACUUGGGAAUUGCGCUUGUGACUGGCGUGCUGGAGUGUGGCAGAGGGAGGUGGAAUUCCACGUGUAGCAGUGAAAUGCGUAGAGAUGUGGAGGAACACCGAUGGCGAAGGCAGCCUCCUGGGCCAGCACUGACGCUCAUGCACGAAAGCGUGGGGAGCAAACAGG